UUAAGCUAAAAAUAAUACCGA
rnacentral:piRNA from 1 species